UACGUAGGGGGCAAGCGUUAUCCGGAAUCACUGGGUGUAAAGGGAGCGUAGACGGCUGUGCAAGCCUGAAGUGAAAGGCGGGGGCCCAACCCCUGGACUGCUUUGGGAACUGUACGGCUGGAGUGCAGGAGAGGUAAGUGGAAUUCCUAGUGUAGCGGUGAAAUGCGUAGAUAUAUGGAAGAACACCAGUGGCGAAAGCGGCUCUCUGGUCUGUAACUGACGCUGAGGUUCGAAAGCGUGGGUAGCAAACAGG
rnacentral:rRNA from 1 species